rnacentral:tRNA from 7 species
UGGGGUGUCGUCUAAUGGUAGGACAAGAGAUUUUGGUUCUCUUUAUCAUGGUUCGAAUCCGUGCGCCCCAACCA